GACGAACGCUGGCGGCGCGCUUAACACAUGCAAGUCGAACGGAAAGGCCUGCUUUCCCUUGUGGAUUGCGGGUACUCGAGUGGCGAACGGGUGAGUAACACGUGAGUGAUCUGCCCCCAACUUGGGUAUAAGCCUGGGAAACUGGGUCUAAUUCCCGAUAGGACUGCAGGGUGGUGCCUGUGGUGGAAAACGAUUUUCUAGUGGUUGGGGAUGAGCUCGCGGCCUAUCAGCUUGUUGGUGGGGUAAUGGCCUACCAAGGCGGCGACGGGUAGCCGGCCUGGGAGGGUGGACGGCCGCAUUGGGACUGAGAUACGGCCCAGACUCCUACGGGAGGCAGCAGUGGGGAGUAUUGCACAAUGGGCGGAAGCCUGAUGCAGCGACGCCGCGUGGGGGAUGACGGCCUUCGGGUUGUAAACUCCUUUCGACCGCGAGGAAGCCACCUGGUUGGAAGGGUGGUGACGGUAGUGGUAGAAGAAGCACCGGCUAACUACGUG
rnacentral:rRNA from 1 species